rnacentral:lncRNA from 1 species
GUCAGUGGCUGCGGGCGCGUGCGCGGGUGGCCGGGCUGGUCGGGCUCGGUCGGUUCGCGCGGAACGGGGCCGGUUCGGCCCAAAACGGCCGGGCCGGUCCGGUUUUCUCCCUUUUUCUUUUCUUUUUAGCCUUUUCUUUUUCCCUUUUUCUCAUUUCGUUGAUAUCUUUUGAUUUUGAACUCCAAAUUGGCCCAAAUGAAUUCCAGAAAAUUUGUAAAAUCAUCUUUUAUCAUGAUUCAACUUGUGGGAGUAAUUUCUCCUCAAAAUAAAAUACCUAAAAAUACAUUGCCCUAUAAAUGCCUUAAAUAAAAUAGUUUUUCAACUAUUUAAAUAAAAUAGUUUUUCAACUCCAAAUAAUUAUCCAAAAAUUAUGGGAUAGCUUAUUUAUGCAUUAAACCCCUUUUAUAAAUAAACCUUGUUGGUUUGA